rnacentral:rRNA from 1 species
CCUACGGGAGGCUGCAGUGGGGAAUAUUGGACAAUGGGGGGAACCCUGAUCCAGCGACGCCGCGUGAGUGAAGAAGUAUUUCGGUAUGUAAAGCUCUAUCAGCAGGGAAGAAAAUGACGGUACCUGACUAAGAAGCCCCGGCUAACUACGUGCCAGCAGCCGCGGUAAUACGUCGGGGGCAAGCGUUAUCCGGAUUUACUGGGGGUAAAGGGAGCGUAGACGGUGUAGCAAGUCUGAUGUGAAAGGUCGGGGCCCAACCCCGGGACUGCAUUUGAAACUGUUGAACUUGAGUACAGGAGAGGUAAGCGGAAUGCCUGGUGUAGCGGUGAAAUGCGUAGAUAUUAGGAAGAACACCGGUGGCGAAGGCAGCUUACUGGAGUGUAACUGACGUUGAGGCACGAAAGCGUGGGGAGCGAACAGGAUUAGAUACCCUUGUAGUC